GUGUGUACCUUCCCUUGGAUACUGAUACUUGGAAACAGUGGAUAUGGAUACGUGGAUGCACGGAAAUGGACACAUGGAUAUGGACAUGUGGAUAUGUAGACCCUUGAUUUGGGUAUUCUACGCGCGUAUGACUUGUCACAGGCAUACGAGUCUUGAGGAUUCGGCUGUACGUGCUGGCUGAGAUUUAGUCCCCCGGUUGGACGGCUCGUUCCCUAGCCAUAUGGUUGUUGAGGAUUCCUCCAUGUGGUCUAGUCAAACGAUCCUGGAUUGGAUUAUUU
rnacentral:lncRNA from 1 species